rnacentral:rRNA from 1 species
UACAGAGGUCUCAAGCGUUGUUCGGAUUCAUUGGGCGUAAAGGGUGCGUAGGCGGCGCGGUAAGUCGGAUGUGAAAUCUCGGAGCUUAACUCCGAAACUGCAUUCGAUACUGCCGUGCUUGAGGACUGGAGAGGAGACUGGAAUUUACGGUGUAGCGGUGAAAUGCGUAGAUAUCAGGAGGAACACCGGUGGCGAAGGCGGUUCUCUGGGCAUGUUCUGACGCUGAGGAGCGAAAGUGUGGGGAGCGAACAGG